rnacentral:lncRNA from 1 species
CCCUAAUGCUGAGCUGAGCACUACUACAGCCCUGCUAUAGGUCCCCUCUAAAUGUAAUGUCAUCAGACGUAACAAAGGGAAGUAACGUUAUGUUUCCCCCUCCCUUCCAAACUCUUCUCAAAAAGGCCAGAUGACACGAAGGUCUUAUGUUGUCGGCUCUUAAAUAAAGCUCAGCAGGGGACGCGGGAGAGGGGAGUCUUUCAUCGGCACCACAUCCACCACGACAGGACUACACAGUACAUCCUUUGACAUUGAGGCUCUUUGGGAGAAGAAGAUUCAUACCCACAGAAGGAAAUGAAUGUGGCUCUUAUUCAUGAUAAGCUUUUUAUAAAAGAUCUCUGGGAACAAAAAAUUGCUAAACACGACCAAAGGACAGAAACUGAAGACAUGAGGAAGAAAAAUAGUGCUCUCACCAAAACUUUUCUUCUUCAUAUUUGGAUUAGGAAUACAUCCUGCUGUGAGUGAUAAAACUUCCACAAUUUAGGUGAUAUCACUUUCGACGCAUCUGCAACAUGUAACAGACCAUGAUCUUGUUACGAGCAAUAUGUUAACGCUAAGGGCUUCUCAGGACAACUUACACUGACAAUCGUAUUAAAGUACUUGGCCAUAAGAAUCUCUAAUCACAGAAGCAAAAGCACACUCUAAUAUCUCAUAACCCCAUGGCUAGUCCGUGGCUAGUCCAUGUAAUCAUGUGUAUAUCCCUGAUCUGAGAAGGACUGGAAAAACUUUAGGGAAUCCGAUAUGAUAAUCAGAGAGUGUUGAGUGAUAUUAGGGGAUGCCAUAUUCCAUGCUUAGCUGUCCUACAAUAGCCUGUGCUGCUUUAAGGUUAGAGGAUUAUCAGACACAGCAGUGUCACAGCAGCAACAAAUGCAAUAAGCCAAGUAGAUGUGAGGAAGGUGGCAGAGCCAUCCUCACAAUACUGGGCACAAGAGCACGGUGUCACAAAUAAUAAACCCAUUGGAAGUCCUAGAGGAAUUGUCGAAGAAAUUUUGCCUGGGUGCCCGUCUGUUUCUGCUCUCUUGCUAAUGGAGCUGCGAGACGAAUGGCACCGAAGGCUUGAGAGUCGAACAAAACAUCUGAAGAAAUUAAAUGACGAACUUCUGAGGAAGAGCAAACUUGCCAAACAGGCAGAUGACACAUAAUGGAGUGUUGCAUUUGUCCCGUCUGUUCUCGUGAAGAGUGAUGUCUUUUUUCUGAUAUCAAUAAAAAACAUGUUUUAUCAUGGUCACUCCUGUUUUGUCUCACACUGAGGGAAGAUUCACUAUUGAGCAUACUUUUUAGUCCAGCAUUAUCUAUACUUAGGUUUAAGGCUUACGCAUAGGCUUAAGUAGGCUUAAGUGAACGAAGCGUACACACUUGCAGUUAAAACAGGUUGAAGAGUGUUGGAAACUGACCCUAGGAGUUCAGUUUUCUCAAGUGUAUUCUAGUAUCACUGUAAAUGGACUACAGAAGUCAACUAUAUAAAUUGUGCCAUUUCUACAUGGAACAAUGACACUAUUGGUAUGAAUAUAGGAAGUUUUACUGAGAUCAUGUAUAACAAUAUCAAAGUAAAUGUUAGUUUGGAAUAGAUUACGUUGGUAAAUAUGCCAAAUGAUUUUGUAAGUUGAUUUAUUUCUGUUGGAAAAUAUUCAGUAUCCUAAGCAGUCG